ensembl:lncRNA
UAAUCUCACUGUAAUCAGCACAAACUGGGCUAUAAUAAUAUGUGAGCAGCAUGUAUGUACAUGAUUGUGUUUUUGAGAAAAAAAAAAAAAAUAUUGUUUUCUGUAGGGAUGGGGGGCAAACCCUGUCAUCUUGAAAUUCAUAUUUUAUUCCCUAGCAUUAUCUGCAGCUUUUACAGUAUUUUGCUGUUUUGAAAGUUUCUUGUCGUAGUUCAUAACAUCAUUGAGAGUUACGGCUGUGUCUUAAAAGGCUGAGAAUUCUUGAGCACCGAUCAUCGCUAGUAAGCUUCUCUGCCUUUUUUCAUGCCGUAUAAAAGGCUUUUUAUUCCACCCAAACCCCAAAGGAAGAGUCCCCUCAUACACUGUAAGAAACUCUGCACACUUAAAUAGAGGGGCCAAAAAUACCAUCGAGGCCCGAUGUUUAAUUGCUUGGUAUUAUUGCAAUAUGUCUAUCCUCUCUGGGUGCUGGUCUCCCUCAACCCUCUCGGCUGGCGUCACAUGGCUUAAUUGAAUUCCAGAAAAAGGCAAGCCCCCCUUUCCUGGGGAAUCCAAAAUGGAGCUCUUGCUUUGGUCUGUAGCAACAGGGAGCUGUCCAUGGUUCUGAAAAGCUGGCUGCGUGUCAAAGCCGUGCGGAGCGCGGUCUCCGUUUUUCAUCUGCCCUAAUAAUGGAUCUCAUAGCGGUGGGAAGUUCCUAAUUUGGCAUUUCUACAAUUCACUGCCCAGACCGUUGGCAGUUAGCAGCAUGAAAGUGUGAAUUUCAUCUAUUGUUAGUAAAUGCAGAGAACAACAGCUGUCUGUAGUGUUUUGUGCCAAUAGCUUUUGAAAUGCCAAUCACGGUUUCCGCCCUAAUUAGUUUGUUUUAUUUAGCUGGGUUACUUAGGAGACAUCGGUAAUGAAUAAUCUGUCAGAGGAUUCAUUUUGAACAGCUAACUUAUAAUAACCUUUAAGGUCAUCCUCUGAGCACUAUUUGUAAAUCUGUGGAUUUAUCAGGAUUACCUGCUAG